AAGACUGACGUGCCUGGAAACUUCCCUUCACGGGCUUUGUGACUGAAAUGCGUGUGGUCGAUGGGAAGCCUGACGAGUACGGCCUGAAUCAUUACAUCAACACCGGACGGAGUGAAACCUUUGUUGAAAACAGAUUAUAUGGACGUAGUCUGGACCUCAGCGCUGAGGAGAAGUUCAACCAGCUCUGCUUGCAGACCGACAUCCUUCCUGAAAAUAUUCUUCAUCUUCCUAAAACUUUUACAUUGGUGCUGAAGUUCUAUAUAAAAACAGCCUGAAAUACAAACUGAUGUUGUGCACUGAUUACCUCACACUGUCCAUGUUUCCUUCUACAGAGGAGUGUCCGCUUCAGUGUUUUGUCUGACUGAUCUGUUGUUGAUCGUCUCACCGACACUGCAUAAAUAUCUGACACCAUCUGUUAUGGAAAUGUGACUGAGCAACAUCGUGAGCAGUUUUUAACAAUAAAAAUG